CAAUAGCGUAUAUUAAAGUUGUUGCAGUUAAAAAGCUCGUAGUUGGAUUUGUGGCGUACGGUGUGUUCCGGGCACUUGUUGUCUGAGUAACCUGCUGUUGCCAUCCUUGGGUGGAACCUGUGUGGCAUUAGGUUGUCGUGCAGGGGAUGCCCAUCGUUUACUGUGAAAAAAUUAGAGUGUUCAAAGCAGGCUUAUGCCGUUGAAUAUAUUAGCAUGGAAUAAUGAGAUAGGACUUUUUUGCUAUUUUGUUGGUUUGCGCAAAGAGGUAAUGAUUAAUAGGGACAGUUGGGGGUAUUCGUAUUCCAUUGUCAGAGGUGAAAUUCUUGGAUUUUUGGAAGACGAACUACUGCGAAAGCAUUUACCAAGGAUGUUUUCAUUAA
rnacentral:rRNA from 1 species